UAAGUUUGUUGAGGGGUAAUUGGCUUGUCAUUUCAAUUACUUAAACCCCUGUAGUUUUAGAUGAGAACGUCCUUAAAACCUUAUCUUCCCACUCCCCCUUGGCAAUUUUUUAUUCUUUUUCUAUUUUUCAGACCCCUCCCAAAAUAAAUAAAUAGUUAGAGAAUAGAGACAGUUACAAUCUAAUAAAAAAGAAAUAAUGUCCUUUCGCAAAAAAAAGAGAUUGUCCCAAUUCAUGACAAUGAUGAAGCCGCAUAUGCUACAGCCAACAUUCAUUCCUGUAGCAUUUUCAACUUCACCUCAAAUCAAAUCGAAUCAAGAUGUCGACGAAGAAUGCAUAAUGAUAAUAAAUAAUAAUAAUAAAACGGUGGCCAAAAUCAAAUUUGAAAGGUUUGACGCCUCAAAUAAGAUUUCCAGUUGCCUCGCUGGUUUCAGCUAAUGGCGUCCCGGCGCCCGGAGUGCAUUUCUCCAGUUGCAGAAUACCUCUUAAUCAAAGGUGUAAUUAUGCUGCGGAAUUGGGCUAUUUGCUUGACUGCUUGGGGCGAGGAAAGAGUUAAUGCCCUUUUGUACUUUGGUUGUGCAGUAAUUGGAGGGAAGUGUAAUGAUUUCCCUUUAUUGGCUGAUGUGCUUUAACUAAUUCUGCGCAAGCCCUCUGAGAAUCUUCAGCUUCAACCAUGUGGAUCUUGAAGACAGGUUGAAUUGGACUGAUAUAGAAUGACGGCAUCUUGAAACUGACCAAAACUAAAAGCUGUCGACAGCCUAGAUUGAAACUGGAGCUUUCCCCUUAUAGAAAACCAUGGUUUUUUUCACUCCGAUCACUCGGUUAUCCGAUGAAUAAACAUAACCAGGUGAGCCAGUGGCCUUCCAGUAUCCAGAUGCUGUAGUGCGGCUUGGUCUCCCUCCUCUCGCUUCUCUUUCUUGUCUUGGCGUAAAGAAGAACCAUUGCUCAGUGUCUCCUUGACAUAGUUCUCCAGCAAGCUCUGCAACACAUUUCAAGAAACAAACUUUAAGAUUGCAGUUUGGGGACACCAUGGAAUAGCUUAUAUGUGAAUCAUACAUUUUGUAGUAAAGAAACAUGAAAAUAUGUUAAGAGUUAUAAGGAGCGACCUGAGAAGUCAUAAUGGGCAGUGCAAUCAAGGCAUGAAACCUUGGCUUUGAGGACUUGGGAUGUGGAGAAUUGAAUCCCUGAAAGAGACAAAGCAAAGAGCAACACAACAACAGCAGGAGUGGAAGCCAUGGAAGCCAAAUAGAACUCUGUAUGAAAAACAGAUGGGGAUGGAGCGGCUUAUAAAUAAGCAGAGCAUCGAAAGGCAGCAUAUUUAAUAAAUGGCCGGUCCCAAUGCCAAGGGCAGUAGCUGGUGUGUAUAAAUGUAGGUGCAAUUAAUUUUACUUCUGUACAUCCGUGAAGAUAGAAUUGCCAGUCAACAUAUUUCUUUUAUUAAGGUCAGUCCUCCCUCCUGACAGAUGAAGCAUCCAACGAGAAUUUCACUUAUAAUUUGCACUGCCCAUUUGAUAAUUCCGAUCGAUGACACUAGCGCCAACAACUACUUUUCAUUAAUGGAGUUCACAGAGCUUGCUUAUCCAUUUAGUCUUUUGUUAAAUAGUUGGCUGUGAUUUUCCUUUGUAAAUAUCAUAAUAUCUAGUGGUAGUAGACACAUGACUGAAGAAACCGAAACACCAUCCGCAAACUGUUAAAUGAGAAUAUAAAAUUAGCUUUAUAUCUCUAUUGUAAUCCUAAAUGAGAUUGUACAUAUUUUUUAAAUAUUAUAGAGACUCUGAUAUCGUCA